rnacentral:rRNA from 1 species
GCUUGGGAAUCUGGCUUAUGGAGGGGGAUAACUACGGGAAACUGUAGCUAAUACCGCGUAGUAUCGAGAGAUGAAAGUGCGGGACCGCAAGGCCGCAUGCCAUGAGAUGAGCCCAAGUGGGAUUAGGUAGUUGGUGGGGUAAAGGCCUACCAAGCCUGCGAUCUCUAGCUGGUCUGAGAGGAUGGCCAGCCACACUGGAACUGAGGCACGGUCCAG